AAGUAGGAGGUCCGAAUUUACGUUUUGGGCAAGUGCCGAAAGAAAGCACGAUACACUCCAUCGCUGUCAACCGAAAAUCGUCGGACGCAUAGAUUAGCCACUCUGUUUCGAACUUCAGGAUUUUUUUUAACGAUUUGAUUGGAGCUCUCACUAUUAGAGAUUGCGUGUAAACAUUUCCAACGCUUGGAUUGUGUUCGGGGUGAUUGCGUUGGCUUCUGUUUAUGGAUUUUUUAUAUUCUUACUCGAUUAUGGAUUUGGUCUCUGGUUACAAGUUGAUCUUACUCUCUUCUCUGCAUCCGAAGUUUCAUGGAUUAUGAUGUUUAGGACAGUAAUGUGGUGCUUGUUUGUAGUUGUUUAUACGAUCUUUAGUAUUGUGUUUUAUCUGUGAGCUUUGUGCAGGGCGUGGUUGGGCUUGUUUUCGGCAAUGAGAAUUCUGCGUCCAAUGAAGAUAGCAAUGGUCAGCUUGCAGAGGACAGGAGAGCUGCUAUGGUGGAGCUUCAGUCUGUUGUAGCAGAAAACCGUUCUGCCCAAGCUUUUGGUGCAAUG